GAUGAACGCUGGCGGCGUGCCUAAUACAUGCAAGUCGAGCGAACAGAUAAGGAGCUUGCUCCUUUGACGUUAGCGGCGGACGGGUGAGUAACACGUGGGUAACCUACCUAUAAGACUGGGAUAACUUCGGGAAACCGGAGCUAAUACCGGAUAACAUUUGGAACCGCAUGGUUCUAAAGUGAAAGAUGGUUUUGCUAUCACUUAUAGAUGGACCCGCGCCGUAUUAGCUAGUUGGUAAGGUAACGGCUUACCAAGGCGACGAUACGUAGCCGACCUGAGAGGGUGAUCGGCCACACUGGAACUGAGACACGGUCCAGACUCCUACGGGAGGCAGCAGUAGGGAAUCUUCCGCAAUGGGCGAAAGCCUGACGGAGCAACGCCGCGUGAGUGAUGAAGGGUCUCGGCUCGUAAAACUCUGUUAUUAGGGAAGAACAAAUGUGUAAGUAACUGUGCACGUCUUGACGGUACCUAAUCAGAAAGCCACGGCUAACUACGUG
rnacentral:rRNA from 1 species